rnacentral:rRNA from 1 species
GCUACGGGCGGCAGCAGUGAGGAAUAUUGGUCAAUGGACGCAAGUCUGAACCAGCCAAGUAGCGUGCAGGAUGACGGCCCUCCGGGUUGUAAACUGCUGUUAGUUGGGAAUAAAAGGGGGCUCGUGAGCCCCGGAUCGUAUGUACCAUCAGAAAAAGGACCGGCGAAUUCCGUGCCAGAAGCCGCGGUAAUAAGGAAGGUCCGGGCGUGAUCCGGAUUUAUUGGGUUUAAAGGGAUCGUAGGGCGGCUUUUAAGACAGCUGUGAAAGUCCGCGGCUCAACCGUGGAAUUGCAGUUGAAACUGGAGGCGUUGAGUGCACACAGGGAUGCCGGAAUUCAUGGUGUAGCGGUGAAAUGCUUAGAUAUCAUGAAGAACUCCGAUCGCGAAGGCAAGUGUCCGGGGUGCAACUGACGCUGAGGCUCGAAAGUGCGGGUAUCAAACAGGAUUAGAUACCCUAGUAGUC